AUUGAACGCUGGCGGCAGGCCUAACACAUGCAAGUCGAGCGAGCGGCGGACGGGUGAGUAAUGUCUGGGAAACUGCCUGAUGGAGGGGGAUAACUACUGGAAACGGUAGCUAAUACCGCAUACCAUCAGAUGUGCCCAGAUGGGAUUAGCUAGUAGGUGGGGUACUGGCUAACCUAGGCGACGAUCCCUAGCUGGUCUUAGAGGAUGAACAGCCACACUGGAACUGAGACACGGUCCAGACUCCUACGGUAGGCAGCAGUGGGGAAUAUUGCACAAUGGGCGCAAGCCUGAGGAAGCCAUGCCGCGGGUGUGAAGAAGGACUUCGGGUUGUAAAGCACUUUCAGCGGGGAGGCGUUACACGCAGAAGAAGAACCGGCUAAAUCCGUGCCAGCAGCAGCGGUAAUAC
rnacentral:rRNA from 1 species